UACGAAGGGGGCUAGCGUUGCUCGGAAUCACUGGGCGUAAAGCGCACGUAGGCGGAUUGUUAAGUCAGGGGUGAAAUCCUGGAGCUCAACUCCAGAACUGCCUUUGAUACUGGCGAUCUUGAGUCCGGGAGAGGUGAGUGGAACUGCGAGUGUAGAGGUGAAAUGCGUAGAGAUCAUGAGGAAGACCAGUGGCGAAGGCGGGUCUCUGGACAGUUCCUGACACUGAGACACGAAGGCCAGGGGAGCAAACGGG
rnacentral:rRNA from 1 species